rnacentral:rRNA from 1 species
GUUAAAACUCAAAUGAAUUGACGGGGGCCCGCACAAGCGGUGGAGCAUGUGGUUUAAUUCGAUGCAACGCGAAGAACCUUACCUACUCUUGACAUCCAGAGAACUUUCCAGAGAUGGAUUGGUGCCUUCGGGAACUCUGAGACAGGUGCUGCAUGGCUGUCGUCAGCUCGUGUUGUGAAAUGUUGGGUUAAGUCCCGCAACGAGCGCAACCCUUAUCCUUGUUUGCCAGCACAUAAUGGUGGGAACUCCAGGGAGACUGCCGGUGAUAAACCGGAGGAAGGUGGGGACGACGUCAAGUCAUCAUGGCCCUUACGAGUAGGGCUACACACGUG